rnacentral:rRNA from 1 species
AUGCAGGGGAAGCCAGAAGCUGAGAACAGAAGAUCUUGCAGGUGCCCUGCAUUGGUGUGGAUGUCGCGGGCAGCGGACAACUGCUGGUGCAUCACAGAGCACCGCGAGGGGCACAACCACUCCAUGUCUCUUAUGAUGGGUGAAAAGGUGCACUGGCCGUCACAACAGCACAUCGAUGUGUACACUAAAGAUUUGAUUACACAGCUCAGGGGGAAUAAUGUAAACCUUGGAAAAGUGUACAUCAUCAUAGGCAGUUUUUUCGGGUCUGUUCAGAAGGUGCCAUUGACAAAAAGGACACUGAGGAACAUCUGUCUUAAGAAAAGCCACGAACAGAUUGAUGAUGAUGUGAGGAAGACCUUGGAGGUUUUUGCGGACAUAUUAGCUGGUGAUCCCAGCUUCACUUACCGGGUUUUGGCGAACAACGAUAGCAGAGUGAAGAACCUGAUGUGAACAAAUGGUAGCACCCGGAUGCAAUACCAGUUCUCCGCCGGAGCAGGAGAAGAGUUUCAGGUACGCCCCAGCAUCCAUAAGUACUAG